rnacentral:ncRNA from 1 species
AAGACUUAGUCCUAAACUUACAGUUAAUUCUUGCCAAAUAUAUACAUGCAAGUAUCUGCGCACCAGUGUCAAUGCCCUCAGCCUCCACUAAUCAAGGCAAGAGGGGCAGGUAUCAGGCACACAAUACAUCGUAGCCCAAGAUGCCUUGCUCUGCCACACCCCCACGGGUACUCAGCAGUGAUUAACAUUAAGCAAUAAGUGCAAACUUGACUUAGUUAUAGCAAUACUCAGGGCCGGUAAAUCUUGUGCCAGCCACCGCAGUCACACAAGAGGCCCAGAUUAACCGUAUGCAGCAUAAAGAGUGGUACCACGUUAUCGUAGCAGACUAAGAUAAAAAUGCAGCUAAGCUGUCAUAAGCAAAGGAUGCACCUAAGUCCACCUUUAAAAUGAUCUUAGCACCUCCGAAUAAUUAAACCCCACGAAAGCUAAGGCACAAACUGGGAUUAGAUACUCCGCUAUGCUUAGCCCUAAAUCUUGAUACUUAUCACCCAACCAAAGUAUCCGCCCGAGAACUACCAGUGCAAAUGCUUAAAAAUCUCUAAGGCCUUGGCGGUCCCCCAACCCCACCUAGAGGAGCCUGUUCUAUAAUCGAUAACCCACGAUACACCCGACCACCUCUUGCCAGAACAGCCUACAUACCGCCGUCGCCAGCUCACCUCCUUCUGAGAGUACAACAGUGAGCAGAAUAGCCCCAUUCCGCUAGUAAGACAGGUCAAGGUAUAGCUCACGGGGUGGAAGAGAUGGGCUACAUGCUCUAUAGUAGAGAACCCUAUGGAAAGGGGUGUGAAACCGCACCUAGAAGGCGGAUUUAGCAAUAAAGCAGGAUAAUAAAGUCCUCUUUAAGCUGGCCCUGAGGCACAUACAUACCGCCCGUCACACUCCUCACAAGCUAUUCCCCUUACUACAUAAGCCACUAGCAAGCUGAAGACGAGGUGAGUCGUAACAAGGUAAGUGUACCGGAAGGUGUACUUAGCACAUCAAGACG